rnacentral:lncRNA from 1 species
AUGACCUCUGUUAGAAUAAGCCAACUACACAGAUUGCUAGGGCUCAGCCUUGGAGCAAGACAUAGGGAUUGGACGAUCGUGUGUCUCCACCUCGUGGCCAUGUCUGGAAUUACACACUCUGGAUCCCAAGCCCCUCUUAGUUGCUGCACCUGGUCAGUCACUGCAAAAGGAACUCUGUAUUUUGGACGAUCGUGUGUCUCCGCCUCGUGGCCAUGUCUGGAAUCACACACCCUGGGAUCCCAAGCCCCUCUUAGUUGCUGCACCUGGUCAGUCACUGCAAAAGGAACUCUGUAUUUUGGACGAUCGUGUGUCUCCGCCUCGUGGCCAUGUCUGGAAUCACACAUCCUGGAUCCCAAGCCUAUCUUACUUGCUCCAACUGGUCAGUCACUGCAAAAGGAAUUCUGCAUUUUCCAGGUCAAUGCAGCUGAGAAGGGGAAGGUCCUGAAAUAGAAGAAAGAUUAGGAAAACUCUUGCUCAGCUUUGCAAUCCCCCUGCCCCCAUCCACCCACCCUGUCAUUAGGCUGAAAGAAAACUCAAUUCCUCCUCUACCUUAACUUCGCUUAUUUGGUGUCCAAUUGCCUUUUCCCAAUUCCUGGGUUUUCCCAGCCUGACUUCUGCGGGGCAAAGGGAAGGGUAGUCAGACCCCCUGUGGCUGAUGUAAUGCAUUUGAGCAGCUCUUAAAUCUCACCUCUGCCUCACCCAGCUCAGGGGUCCAGGGUUGUCAUCCGAGGCCACUGAGUCUCUGUUUUCUCAUCACUAACCAGUCACUGCCCAGUGGCCCUUCUGUGCCAGGCUCAGAAGCAAGCUCUUCUUCUUCUUCUUCUUUUUUUAUUUAUUUUUAUUUUUUGCUUUUUAGGGCCGCACCCACGGCAUAUGGAGAUUCCCAGGCUAGGGGUCGAAUUGGAGCUACAGCGGCCAGCCUAUGCCACAGCCACAGCAACACCAGAUCCUUAACCCAUUGAGCGAGGCAAGGGAUCGAACCCACAACCUCAUGGUUCCCAGUCAGAUUCGUUUCCGCUGUGCCACGACAGGAACUCCAAGAAGCAAGCUCUUCUUCAAGGCUCUCCCAGCUCUCCGUCCCACUGGCCACACUGUUUUAUUGCCUCAGAGACUCUUGCCAGGUGCCCUUGACCUGGACUCGUACUGUUUGCGAGUUCUUCACAGCCAGGUCUUGGAUUUAAUGCUCUUCCCAGAUGCUUUGAAUCUGACCCUGCAGACUGUCCUCUUUCCCUGUGUGCUGCCGAUCCAGGCCACCCCUCAGGGCAAACAGAGAACCCACAGCUCAAUCCCCAAGCUCAGGCCAAAGGAAAAGCCUGGGUGCCCAGGUGUCUGGGGAACAGUAUAGGAGGGGAUGGCGCCCAGGAUUGCUGAGAUGGUGUGGGUGCACCUAGGAGAGGCCUUAGACCGGCAGUCUUCUCCAUAAAUGUGAAGUCUCUCCCUCCCCUCCCCU